AUGUGUGUUGCAAUGACGGCACAGUCGUUCCCGUUCCCUGGACUCGGGACACGGUAGCGCUUAUCUUACCCGCCCCUCCUCCAGCCACUGACCUAUGCGCUCGGAUACAGGUCCCUGGUAGCCGAGAAGAGUGGGGGGCUUUCGAUUCAAAUCCCACCGGUCAGAGGGAAAGGUUCGAGUUAGGAGCGACCUGAAACUAGAGCGCUUCCUCCCGUCAGGAGAAAAACAGUCGCAAGAAGCAGAACCGGUUCUUCCUGCUCCUGCUUCCGAAAGAAACCGAAAGUGAAUCGGGUAUAUAUAGGUGCUGAGUCAGAAGGGGGAAUGCGAGCAGUAGAUGGUGGUACGCAGAGUUGCAUGGACGGUGCACACACAACGCUGGAGCAGCUCAAACCGAGCGGGUCUGCAGAGUAAUCCUGGUGUCUGUGCAGCGGAUCACAGCAUCAUUCCCUUUGCUGAAUGUGCUCACGCAGAGUGAGCAGACCGUGACUACCAAGCGAAGGUCAGCGUGGCACCUGCCAUUUCACUCGGGAUACCAGCUCUCUCAGCUGCCCCUGCCUCCCGAAUGCUGGGCAAAGCCUGCACCUUCGCAGCCUCCGAGAACCUUUCCGGGACACCUGCAUCAAGGGUAAAGGAGACAGACUGUGCUGUCGGAACAGCCGCCAGGCCAGGGUAGAUGCCGGCCGUGUUAAACUGAUCUACAGCUGGAUUAUCCACCACACUGUCUACUGUGAGAUCGGCUUCGGCUUGUCAGAUGUGGAGUGUCCUGAACAGGGGACCAUGGUAGACCAGGUGUCUAACUUGCCACUGAUGAAUUCUUGGAAGCCAAUAUCCACCAGGAUGGAGGGAUGGGGUGGAAGAAAGAUGCUGAACUCCACGAGUGUGGCUGGACAGACAGUAACUCAAGUGACAGUGGGAGUUGGUGUGCCUAUCGUUCUGGUUCUUGUUCUGUGGGUCACCUGAGGUAAAACCCACCAGCAAGUGCUCUUGCUCAUCGCACCCUCUUCUCAUUCCUGCCAUCAGGGAAGAGGUACAGGAGUCUGAGGAUGCACAUUCAACAUUGUCGGAUUGGCUGCUUCCAUUCCACCAUCAGAUUUCUCAAUUGUCCAAAUCUGAUAUAUUUUGCUCAAUAUAUUUAUUUUUAUAUAUUUCUUAUUGUAAUGUUUUUAUUCCAUUCAAAA